rnacentral:ncRNA from 1 species
AUAAAGUUUUAUUUUAGCUUACAAAUUUGUUAUUAAUUUAAUUUAUAUGUAAAUUUUUGUGUGAAAAUAUGUUUAUUUUAAUAAUAAAUUUAAUAUUAUAAAUUCACAAUAGUUAAUAUUAUUAAUUAAAGAAAUUUAGAGAUAGUAAUAUUAAAGAGUAUUGACUUAAUUUGUGCCAGCAGUCGCGGUUAUACAUUUAAUACAAAUAAAUUUUAUUAGUUUAAGUUAAAUAAUUUUUAUAAAAAAAAAUAAAUAUAUUAGGUGAAAUUUUUAAAUUUAUAAUUUUGUUGUUAAAAAUAAUUAAUUCUUGAAAAUUUAAAUUAUAAACUAGGAUUAGAUACCCUAUUAUUAAAAAUGCAAUCUAAAAACUUAGGUAGUAGUAGUUAUGUUCUUGAAACUUAAAAAAUUUGGCGGUAUUUUAGUCUAUUCAGAGGAACCUGUUUUAUAAUCGAUAAUCCACGAUGGACCUUACUUUAAUUUGUUAACAGUUUAUAUACCGUUGUUAUUAGAAUAUUUUAUAAGAAUUGUUAAUUUUCAUAAUUUUUAAAGAUAAAAUAUAUCAGAUCAAGGUGUAGCUUAUAUUUAAGUAUAAAUGGGUUACAAUAAAAUUAUUUAAAUGAAUAUAAAUUUGAAAUAUUUAUUGAAGGUGGAUUUGAUAGUAAAAUUAUAAAGAUAAAUAAUUUGAUAUUAGCUCUAAAAUAUGUACAUAUCGCCCGUCACUCUUACUAUUAAGGUAAGAUAAGUCGUAACAUAGUAGAUGUACUGGAAAGUGUAUCUAGAAUGC